rnacentral:rRNA from 1 species
CCUACGUGAGGCAGCAGUAGGGAAUCUUCCACAAUGGGCGAAAGCCUGAUGGAGCAACGCCGCGUGGGUGAAGAAGGUCUUCGGAUCGUAAAACCCUGUUGUUAGAGAAGAAAGUGCGUGAGAGUAACUGUUCACGUUUCGACGGUAUCUAACCAGAAAGCCACGGCUAACUACGUGCCAGCAGCCGCGGUAAUACUUAGGUGGCAAGCGUUAUCCGGAUUUAUUGGGCGUAAAGGGAACGCAGGCGGGCUUUUAAGUCUGAUGUGAAAGCCUUCGGCUUAACCGGAGUAGUGCAUUGGAAACUGGGAGACUUGAGUGCAGAAGAGGAGAGUGGAACUCCAUGUGUAGCGGUGAAAUGCGUAGAUAUAUGGAAGAACACGAGUGGCGAAAGCGGCUCUCUGGUCUGUAACUGACGCUGAGGUUCGAAAGCGUGGGUAGCAAACAGGAUUAGAUACCCUAGUAGUC